CACCGAGAUUCAACAUGGAACGAGUGGCGGACGGGUGAGUAACACGUGGGUAACCUGCCCUUAAGUGGGGGAUAACAUUUGGAAACAGAUGCUAAUACCGCAUAGAUCCAAGAACCGCAUGGUUCUUGGCUGAAAGAUGGCGUAAGCUAUCGCUUUUGGAUGGACCCGCGGCGUAUUAGCUAGUUGGUGAGGUAAUGGCUCACCAAGGCGAUGAUACGUAGCCGAACUGAGAGGUUGAUCGGCCACAUUGGGACUGAGACACGGCCCAAACUCCUACGGGAGGCAGCAGUAGGGAAUCUUCCACAAUGGACGCAAGUCUGAUGGAGCAACGCCGCGUGAGUGAAGAAGGCUUUCGGGUCGUAAAACUCUGUUGUUGGAGAAGAAUGGUCGGCAGAGUAACUGUUGCCGGCGUGACGGUAUCCAACCAGAAAGCCACGGCUAACUACGUGCCAGCAGCCGCGGUAAUACGUAGGUGGCAAGCGUUAUCCGGAUUUAUUGGGCGUAAAGCGAGCGCAGGCG
rnacentral:rRNA from 1 species